ensembl:snRNA U6 U6 spliceosomal RNA
AGGCUCACCCUAGCAGCAUAUAUACUAAAUGUAAAAUGAUAUAGAGAAGAUUAGCAUGAACCUGCACAAGGGUGACACACAAAUUCACAAAGUGUUUCAUAUAUCU